UACGAAGGGGGCUAGCGUUGUUCGGAAUCACUGGGCGUAAAGGGCGCGUAGGCGGCUUUAUAAGUCGGGGGUGAAAGCCUGUGGCUCACCCACAGAAUUGCCUUCGAUACUGUAGAGCUUGAGACCGGAAGAGGUAAGUGGAACUGCGAGUGUAGAGGUGAAAUUCGUAGAUAUUCGCAAGAACACCAGUGGCGAAGGCGGCUUACUGGUCCGGUUCUGACGCUGAGGCGCGAAAGCGUGGGGAGCAAACAGG
rnacentral:rRNA from 1 species